rnacentral:rRNA from 1 species
UAGCAUAUCAAUAAGCGGAGGAAAAGAAACUAACAAGGAUUCCCCUAGUAGCGGCGAGCGAAGCGGGAAGAGCUCAAAUUUAUAAUCUGGCACCUUCGGUGUCCGAGUUGUAAUCUCUAGAAAUGUUUUCCGCGUUGGACCGCACACAAGUCUGUUGGAAUACAGCGGCAUAGUGGUGAGACCCCCGUAUAUGGUGCGGACGCCCAGCGCUUUGUGAUACAUUUUCGAAGAGUCGAGUUGUUUGGGAAUGCAGCUCAAAUUGGGUGGUAAAUUCCAUCUAAAGCUAAAUAUUGGCGAGAGACCGAUAGCGAACAAGUACCGUGAGGGAAAGAUGAAAAGCACUUUGGAAAGAGAGUUAACAGUACGUGAAAUUGUUGGAAGGGAAACGCUUGAAGUCAGACUUGCUUGCCGAGCAAUCGGUUUGCAGGCCAGCAUCAGUUUUCCGGGAUGGAUAAUGGUAGAGAGAAGGUAGCAGUUUCGGCUGUGUUAUAGCUCUCUGCUGGAUACAUCUUGGGGGACUGAGGAACGCAGUGUGCCUUUGGCGGGGGUUUCGACCUCUUCACACUUAGGAUGCUGGUGGAAUGGCUUUAAACGACCCGUCUUGAAACACGGACCAAGGAGUCUAACAUGCUUGCGAGUAUUUGGGUGUCAAACCCGGAUGCGUAAUGAAAGUGAAUGGAGGUGGGAACCGCAAGGUGCACCAUCGACCGAUCUGGAUUUUUAAUGAUGGAUUUGAGUAAGAGCACGUAUGUUGGGACCCGAAAGAUGGUGAACUAUGCCUGAAUAGGGCGAAGCCAGAGGAAACUCUGGUGGAGGCUCGUAGCGGUUCUGACGUGCAAAUCGAUCGUCAAAUUUGGGUAUAGGGGCGAAAGACUAAUCGAACCAUCUAGUAGCUGGUUCCUGCGAU